rnacentral:lncRNA from 1 species
UGAACUCCUGGUCAUUCUUCCUCAUGCCGGGACUACAGGUGCCACACCACAGAAGGUCACAGGUGGAGAUGACCUCGGAGCUCUUCAGUGUCUUGAUGCAGAGGCUCUGCAAAGAGGGGCCGGCAGCCACCACCUCCAUGGCCUAUGCCAAGCUGAUGCUGACGGUGAUGACCAAGUACCAGGCCAGCAUCUCACAGCAGCAGAGUCUGGACCUGGCUGUGGCCCUAGAGCCCAACACCACCUUCCUGAAGAAGUCCCUGCAGGCAGCCCUGAGACAUCUGGCCCGCUGACCACCCACACCCCAGGCUGUGCAGGGGCCAUCUUGUCUCCACAGAGAGCAGAGAGGAGGCCCUGGCUGCUCCUCCACUCCUGACAACAUCUCGAUCCAGGGCCGGUGGAGGAUGAGCGGGAAUCUUUCGCGCUCAUGUGUGUGUUGUGACCCCCUUCUGAACUGAGUAAUUCUGUAAUGGUUCUUAAUAAAGAGAAGACAGUUCAUCCAC